AGCGUACACGGUGGAUGCCCUGGCAGUCAGAGGCGAUGAAGGACGUGCUAAUCUGCGAUAAGCGUCGGUAAGGUGAUAUGAACCGUUAUAACCGGCGAUUUCCGAAUGGGGAAACCCAGUGUGAUUCGUCACACUAUCAUUAACUGAAUCCAUAGGUUAAUGAGGCGAACCGGGGGAACUGAAACAUCUAAGUACCCCGAGGAAAAGAAAUCAACCGAGAUUCCCCCAGUAGCGGCGAGCGAACGGGGAGCAGCCCAGAGCCUGAAUCAGUGUGUGUGUUAGUGGAAGCGUCUGGAAAGGCGCGCGAUACAGGGUGACAGCCCCGUACACAAAAAUGCACAUACUGUGAGCUCGAUGAGUAGGGCGGGACACGUGGUAUCCUGUCUGAAUAUGGGGGGACCAUCCUCCAAGGCUAAAUACUCCUGACUGACCGAUAGUGAACCAGUACCGUGAGGGAAAGGCGAAAAGAACCCCGGCGAGGGGAGUGAAAAAGAACCUGAAACCGUGUACGUACAAGCAGUGGGAGCACAGAGCAAUCUGUGUGACUGCGUACCUUUUGUAUAAUGGGUCAGCGACUUAUAUUCUGUAGCAAGGUUAACCGAAUAGGGGAGCCGAAGGGAAACCGAGUCUUAACUGGGCGUUAAGUUGCAGGGUAUAGACCCGAAACCCGGUGAUCUAGCCAUGGGCAGGUUGAAGGUUGGGUAACACUAACUGGAGGACCGAACCGACUAAUGUUGAAAAAUUAGCGGAUGACUUGUGGCUGGGGGUGAAAGGCCAAUCAAACCGGGAGAUAGCUGGUUCUCCCCGAAAGCUAUUUAGGUAGCGCCUCGUGAAUUCAUCUCCGGGGGUAGAGCACUGUUUCGGCAAGGGGGUCAUCCCGACUUACCAACCCGAUGCAAACUGCGAAUACCGGAGAAUGUUAUCACGGGAGACACACGGCGGGUGCUAACGUCCGUCGUGAAGAGGGAAACAACCCAGACCGCCAGCUAAGGUCCCAAAGUCAUGGUUAAGUGGGAAACGAUGUGGGAAGGCCCAGACAGCCAGGAUGUUGGCUUAGAAGCAGCCAUCAUUUAAAGAAAGCGUAAUAGCUCACUGGUCGAGUCGGCCUGCGCGGAAGAUGUAACGGGGCUAAACCAUGCACCGAAGCUGCGGCAGCGACGCUGAUGCGUUGUUGGGUAGGGGAGCGUUCUGUAAGCCUGUGAAGGUGUACUGUGAGGUAUGCUGGAGGUAUCAGAAGUGCGAAUGCUGACAUAAGUAACGAUAAAGCGGGUGAAAAGCCCGCUCGCCGGAAGACCAAGGGUUCCUGUCCAACGUUAAUCGGGGCAGGGUGAGUCGACCCCUAAGGCGAGGCCGAAAGGCGUAGUCGAUGGGAAACAGGUUAAUAUUCCUGUACUUGGUGUUACUGCGAAGGGGGGACGGAGAAGGCUAUGUUGGCCGGGCGACGGUUGUCCCGGUUUAAGCGUGUAGGCUGGUUUUCCAGGCAAAUCCGGAAAAUCAAGGCUGAGGCGUGAUGACGAGGCACUACGGUGCUGAAGCAACAAAUGCCCUGCUUCCAGGAAAAGCCUCUAAGCAUCAGGUAACAUCAAAUCGUACCCCAAACCGACACAGGUGGUCAGGUAGAGAAUACCAAGGCGCUUGAGAGAACUCGGGUGAAGGAACUAGGCAAAAUGGUGCCGUAACUUCGGGAGAAGGCACGCUGAUAUGUAGGUGAAGCGACUUGCUCGUGGAGCUGAAAUCAGUCGAAGAUACCAGCUGGCUGCAACUGUUUAUUAAAAACACAGCACUGUGCAAACACGAAAGUGGACGUAUACGGUGUGACGCCUGCCCGGUGCCGGAAGGUUAAUUGAUGGGGUUAGCGCAAGCGAAGCUCUUGAUCGAAGCCCCGGUAAACGGCGGCCGUAACUAUAACGGUCCUAAGGUAGCGAAAUUCCUUGUCGGGUAAGUUCCGACCUGCACGAAUGGCGUAAUGAUGGCCAGGCUGUCUCCACCCGAGACUCAGUGAAAUUGAACUCGCUGUGAAGAUGCAGUGUACCCGCGGCAAGACGGAAAGACCCCGUGAACCUUUACUAUAGCUUGACACUGAACAUUGAGCCUUGAUGUGUAGGAUAGGUGGGAGGCUUUGAAGUGUGGACGCCAGUCUGCAUGGAGCCGACCUUGAAAUACCACCCUUUAAUGUUUGAUGUUCUAACGUUGACCCGUGAUCCGGGUUGCGGACAGUGUCUGGUGGGUAGUUUGACUGGGGCGGUCUCCUCCUAAAGAGUAACGGAGGAGCACGAAGGUUGGCUAAUCCUGGUCGGACAUCAGGAGGUUAGUGCAAUGGCAUAAGCCAGCUUGACUGCGAGCGUGACGGCGCGAGCAGGUGCGAAAGCAGGUCAUAGUGAUCCGGUGGUUCUGAAUGGAAGGGCCAUCGCUCAACGGAUAAAAGGUACUCCGGGGAUAACAGGCUGAUACCGCCCAAGAGUUCAUAUCGACGGCGGUGUUUGGCACCUCGAUGUCGGCUCAUCACAUCCUGGGGCUGAAGUAGGUCCCAAGGGUAUGGCUGUUCGCCAUUUAAAGUGGUACGCGAGCUGGGUUUAGAACGUCGUGAGACAGUUCGGUCCCUAUCUGCCGUGGGCGCUGGAGAACUGAGGGGGGCUGCUCCUAGUACGAGAGGACCGGAGUGGACGCAUCACUGGUGUUCGGGUUGUCAUGCCAAUGGCACUGCCCGGUAGCUAAAUGCGGAAGAGAUAAGUGCUGAAAGCAUCUAAGCACGAAACUUGCCCCGAGAUGAGUUCUCCCUGACUCCUUGA
rnacentral:rRNA from 1 species